rnacentral:tRNA from 1 species
CGCGGGGUGGAGCAGUCUGGUAGCUCGUCGGGCUCAUAACCCGGAGGUUGUCGGUUCAAGUCCGACCCCCGCAACCA